AUACUUACUUGGACAGGGUUAAUGGGUGUUCAACAAGGUCCAUGGCCUAGGUUGAUGACUUCCAUUGCACUUUAGAGGGGUGUUAUUUUAAGGACUACCUUAUAGGUGGAGCCUACGUCAUAAUUUGUGGUAGAGGGGGCCUGUGUUCGCGCGGCCCCUAC
rfam:Ipomoea nil DNA, scaffold: scaffold1474, cultivar: Tokyo-kokei standard.